rnacentral:rRNA from 1 species
GAUGAACGCUAGCUACAGGCUUAACACAUGCAAGUCGAGGGGUAACAAGAGAAAAGCUUGCUUUUCUUGUUGACGACCGGCGCACGGGUGAGUAACGCGUAUCCAACCUGCCUAUAACUAGGGAAUAACCUUGCGAAAGUAAGACUAAUACCCUAUGAUUUCCUUUGAUGACAUCAGAUUAGGAAUAAAGCUUUAUCGGUGCUAGAUGGGGAUGCGUCUGAUUAGCUUGUUGGCGGGGUAACGGCCCACCAAGGCAACGAUCAGUAGGGGUUCUGAGAGGAAGGUCCCCCACAUUGGAACUGAGACACGGUCCAAACCCCUACGGGAGGGAGCAGUGAGGAAUAUAGGUCAAGGGGCGGAAGCCUGAACCAGCCAAGUAGCGUGCAGGAUGACGGCCCUAUGGGCUGUAAACUGCUUUUAUACAGGAAUAAAGUUAGCCACGUGUGGUUAUUUGUAGGUACUGUAUGAAUAAGGACCGGCUAAUUCCGUGCCAGCCGCCGCCGUAA